rnacentral:rRNA from 1 species
UUGGAGGGCAAGUCUGGUGCCAGCAGCCGCGGUAAUUCCAGCUCCAAUAGCGUAUAUUAAAGUUGUUGCAGUUAAAAAGCUCGUAGUUGAAUUCCGGGAUCAGUACGCCGGUCGUGCCUCCGGUAUGUACUGGUGUCACUGAUUCCUCCCUUCUGAAGAACCAUCAUGCCAUUCACUUGGUGUGGUGGGGAAUCAGGACUGUUACUUUGAAAAAAUUAGAGUGUUUAAAGCAGGCUCACGCUUGAAUACAUUAGCAUGGAAUAAUGAAAUAGGACGUUGAUCCUAUUUUGUUGGUUUCUAGGAUUGACGUAAUGAUUAAUAGGGAUAGUUGGGGGCAUUAGUAUUCAAUUGUCAGAGGUGAAAUUCUUGGAUUUAUUGAAGACUAACUACUGCGAAAGCAUUUGCCAAGGAUGUUUUCAUUAAUCAAGAACGAAAGUUAGGGGAUCGAAGACGAUCAGAUACUGUCGUAGUCUUAACCAUAAACUAUGCCGACUAGGGAUCGAUGAUGUAUAA